UUGGUUGAAAAAGUUCUUAGAUGCUUAAACCCUAGUUGGUAACCCAAAGUCAUCGCGGUUCUAAAUCUAAGGACUUGUCGUCCAUGGAUUUGACUGUUUUAUUUACUAAAUAGUAAGAACACGAGUUGGAGUUGAAAAUACUUGUAGAUGACAAGGAAGAUGAUAAGAAGAAGAAAACUCUAGCUCUUAAGGUCGUGGAAGAAAAAGAUUAUGACUUUGAUGAAAAAUGACGCUAUUUGUUCCAAUUUUCAUAAGAU
rnacentral:lncRNA from 1 species